GCGGGGGUCUCCGAGCCAGGUCAAAGGAGCAAGGCUUAGGACCUUGUCGCGCAGGCGUUCGUGGGUUCAAAUCCCACCCCCCGCACCA
rnacentral:tRNA from 1 species